CCCUUAGAUGUUCUGGGCCGCACGCGCGCUACACUGAUGCAUUCAACGAGUCGAUCCUUGCUCGAAAGAGCCGGGUAAUCUUUUGAAAUUGCAUCGUGAUGGGGCUUGCGGGAUGCAACUACCCGCACCAACGAGGAAUUCCUAGUAGACGUAGUUCAUCAGACUGCAUCGAUUACGUCCCUGCCCUUUGUACACACCGCCCGUCGCUCCUACCGAUUGGAUGAUCCGGUGAGCUAUUCGGACUUUCGCAUUGUCGAUUUUCGGCUUUACGAGGGAAAGUCUCGCGAACCUUAUCAUCUAGAGGAAGGAGAAGUCGUAACA
rnacentral:rRNA from 1 species